rnacentral:rRNA from 1 species
UACAGAGGGUGCGAGCGUUAAUCGGAAUUACUGGGCGUAGAGCGCACGUAGUCGGCUUGUCAAGUCGGGUGUGAAAAUCCCCGGGCUCAACCUGGGAGCGGCAUUCGAUACUGGCAAACUGGAGUACGAGAGAGGGGGGUGGAAUUCCAGGUGUAGCGGUGAAAUGCGUAGAUAUCUGGAGGAACACCGGUGGCGAAGGCGGCCCCCUGGCUCGAUACUGACACUGAGGUGCGAAAGCGU